GGAUCAACCGGCAGUCAACACGUAGAAGAAUGCAAGUUGACCCACUUACUCCAUUCUUGUUCUCUGUAGUGCUGCAGAGGAUGGAUUUUCCCAAGGACCGUCUUCCCCAGAUAGAGGAGGCUGGCAUUCAGUCAAGGGGACAUGAGUAGCUGCACUCCUCUGCUAGAACCUCCAAACAAGCUCCCGAAAGCUGAUACCCUGAACCUGACAGAAGAGACAGUAGGGACUACCCUUGAACUUAGAGGUACAGGAAAGGACUUUCUGAACAAACAGAGACAGACAU
ensembl:misc_RNA Gm24883 predicted gene, 24883